CCUACGGGGGGCAGCAGUGGGGAAUAUUGCGCAAUGGGCGCAAGCCUGACCCAGCAACGCCGCGUGAAGGAAGAAGGCUUUCGGGUUGUAAACUUCUUUUCUCAGGGACGAAGCAAGUGACGGUACCUGAGGAAUAAGCCACGGCUAACUACGUGCCAGCAGCCGCGGUAAUACGUAGGUGGCAAGCGUUAUCCGGAUUUACGGGGUGUAAAGGGCGUGUAGGCGGGACUGCAAGUCAGAUGUGAAAACCACGGGCUCAACCUGUGGCCUGAAUUUGAAACUGUAGUUCUUGAGUACUGGAGAGGUAGACGGAAUUCCUAGUGUAGCGGUGAAAUCCGUAGAUAUCUGGAGGAACAUCAGUGGCGAAGGCGACUAUCUGGAACAUAACUGACGCUGAGGCGCGAAAGCGUGGGUAGCAAACAGGAUUAGAUACCCGAGUAGUC
rnacentral:rRNA from 1 species